rnacentral:piRNA from 1 species
UGCCUAUUGUACCUUGAAGGAAAAGA